GUCCUGCCUCCGUGCAGGGGACUGGUCUAGAGGACCUCUCCGAUCCCUCCCAGUCCUACGUUUCCAGGCUCCCCUGGAGCCCUACAGGCAGAUACAUUAGCUAGCACUGAACGGGGCGGUGUGUGCAAGGCCAGUGAUCUGGGUGGCUGGGGGAUCUGCCUGCUCGCGGCUGCAGGCGCACGGGCUGCGGUUACAUAGCAGCUUUUCCAUUGUCACUAGUCCAGACAAUGCUGACCCUGCUCUCUCGCUGUUCUGUUCCCCAGUAAACCCAGGGUACUGCCGGAAGGCCCCACCUGGCACGGUGACAAUCUGCCUUGCGGAAUGCAGUAACGACAGGGAAUGUGGAACGGGCAACAAGUGCUGCAGCCGGGGAUGCCACGUGCACUGCGCACGGGCGGUGCCAGCCCAUCCCGGCACCUGCCCCAAGAGGAGAGUGCUGCAGACGUUCGCGCCGUGUGAGAAUAAGUGCAGUGACGACAGGGACUGUCCCACCAGGCAGAAAUGCUGCUUUACUGGCUGUGGCCUCGGCUGUCUGGCCCCUCUGUAAGGUUUGAGGCCUUUUUCUGCAGCCACAUUAGGACAGUGACAGGCAUUCCAACUAAAUUACAUGAAAACACUGUAAUAUCAGGCUGUUAAGAAAGAGAUCCUGUCCUAAUAGACCCACUAUCACCAGAUAAAGAAACAUCUUAAGAUGGCCAAAGAAAACUUGGUUUGAUAGCGUUCUCUCUGGCAAGGAAUCACUUAUCAACAUUUGUGAUUGUAAAAUCUAUACUUCUAUUGGUUUGCCUGUAUGGUUCCUACUUCUCUAUUGUUUAUCUGUCUGGUUCUUUGUUUCUGUCUGUUGCAUAACUAAUUUUGCAAGACUUAAAUCAACUAAGGCGGUGGGGUAUGAUUGGGUAAAGAAUUGUUUCACAAUAUGUUGUGAUUGGUCAAAGAAUUAUUUCACAAUACUUUAGUACAAUGAUUGGUUAAGGUAUAGCUAAGGAGGACUCCAGUUACACUAGAUGUACUGGGGUCCAAGAAUGAGACCAGGUGGGGGGGAAAAAAGAAGAAGCAGAAGAAGGAAAGACCUGAAAAAAGAAGAAGAACUCAUCCCCAAGACUCAGCCUAAGAUAAGAGCUGCUAAGAAUCCUCUGCCCGACUGUGCCAUGCAGCAACCAGAAUCCAGAUGAGACUGCCCUUGCCUGGCCACCAGGGGAAGUCCGCCUGCGUGAUCAGGAUUGGUGACAUUUGCCGACUCCUACCUCCUAUCCCUCGCUUCUACAACCUGGCCUCCGGGAUGGGCCACAGAUUCUAUUACGGCGGCUGCCAGGGCAACGAGAACGACUCUCCCAGCUGGGCACAGCGUUAGAAGUAACGC